rnacentral:rRNA from 1 species
GCAAGUCGAGGGGUAACAGAGUAGCUUGCUACUGCUGACGAGUGGCGGACGGGUGAGUAAUGCUUGGGAAUAUGCCUUUACGUGGGGGACAACAGUUGGAAACGACUGCUAAUACCGCAUAAUGUCUUCGGACCAAAGCAGGGGACCUUCGGGCCUUGCGCGUAAAGAUUAGCCCAAGUGGGAUUAGCUAGUUGGUAAGGUAAUGGCUUACCAAGGCGACGAUCCCUAGCUGGUCUUAGAGGAUGACC